UUAACUCAAAUUUGUAGGGAGUUGGAUCGUUUGCCUAGGUUUACCGCUAGAGGCGCUGUUCCAACUGCAUAUAGAUUUUUUUUU
rnacentral:pre_miRNA from 1 species